CUACGGGCGGCUGCAGUCGAGAAUCUUCCGCAAUGGACGAAAGUCUGACGGAGCGACGCCGCGUGCGGGAUGAAGGCCUUCGGGUUGUAAACCGCUGUCAGUGGGGAGGAAAUGCAUCAGGGUUCUCCCUGGUGUUUGACCGAUCCGCAGAGGAAGCGCAGGCUAAGUUCGUGCCAGCAGCCGCGGUAACACGAACUGCGCGAACGUUAUUCGGAAUCACUGGGCUUAAAGAGUUCGUAGGCGGCCUUUCAAGUCGGGUGUGAAAGCCCUCGGCUCAACCGAGGAAUUGCGCCUGAUACUGUUGGGCUUGAGGGGGAUAGGGGUGAGCGGAACUGAUGGUGGAGCGGUGAAAUGCGUUGAUAUCAUCAGGAACACCGGUGGCGAAGGCGGCUCACUGGAUCUCUUCUGACGCUGAGGAACGAAAGCUAGGGGAGCGAACGGGAUUAGAUACCCUUGUAGUC
rnacentral:rRNA from 1 species